UACGAAGGGUGCAAGCGUUACUCGGAAUUACUGGGCGUAAAGCGUGCGUAGGUGGUUUGUUAAGUCUGUUGUGAAAGCCCCGGGCUCAACCUGGGAAUGGCAAUGGAUACUGGCAAGCUAGAGUGCGGUAGAGGGUAGUGGAAUUCCCGGUGUAGGGGUGAAAUGCGUAGAGAUCGGGAGGAACACCAGUGGCGAAGGCGGCUACCUGGACCAGCACUGACACUGAGGCACGAAAGCGUGGGGAGCAAACAGG
rnacentral:rRNA from 1 species